GAUGAACGCUAGCGAUAGGCCUAACACAUGCAAGUCGAGGGGCAUCACAUGAAGUAGCAAUACGGAUGGUGGCGACCGGCGCACGGGUGAGUAACACGUAUGCAACCUGCCUUCAACAAGGGGAUAACCCGUUGAAAGACGGACUAAUACCCUAUAACACAGGGGUCCCGCAUGGGAAUAUUUGUUAAAGGACAACCGGUUGAAGAUGGGCAUGCGUUCCAUUAGCUAGUUGGCGGGGUAACGGCCCACCAAGGCAACGAUGGAUAGGGGAACUGAGAGGUUUAUCCCCCACACUGGUACUGAGACACGGACCAGACUCCUACGGGAGGCAGCAGUGAGGAAUAUUGGUCAAUGGACGCAAGUCUGAACCAGCCACGUCGCGUGAAGGAAGACGGCCCUACGGGUUGUAAACUUCUUUUAUACGGGAAUAAAGUGCCCCACGCGUGGGGUUUUGCAUGUACCGUAUGAAUAAGGAUCGGCUAACUCCGUGCCAGCAGCCGCGGUAA
rnacentral:rRNA from 1 species